GAUGAACGCUGGCGGCGUGCCUAAUACAUGCAAGUCGAGCGAACAGACGAGGAGCUUGCUCCUCUGACGUUAGCGGCGGACGGGUGAGUAACACGUGGAUAACCUACCUAUAAGACUGGGAUAAAUUCGGGAAACCGGGGCUAAUACCGGAUAACAUGUUGAACCGCAUGGUUCAACAGUGAAAGACGGUCUUGCUGUCACUUAUAGAUGGAUCCGCGCCGCAUUAGCUAGUUGGUAAGGUAACGGCUUACCAAGGCAACGAUGCGUAGCCGACCUGAGAGGGUGAUCGGCCACACUGGAACUGAGACACGGUCCAGACUCCUACGGGAGGCAGCAGUAGGGAAUCAUCCGCAAUGGGCGAAAGCCUGACGGAGCAACGCCGCGUGAGUGAAGAAGGUCUUCGGAUCGUAAAACUCUGUUAUUAGGGAAGAACAAAUGUGUAAGUAACUAUGCACGUCUUGACGGUACCUAAUCAGAAAGCCACGGCUAACUACGUG
rnacentral:rRNA from 1 species